UUGCUCUCACGCGUUCACAGCGUAUCAAAGGACGGCUGUGAAGAAAUUGUGAAAGACUUUCGUCAUCUUUUCACUGGAACUGGCUGCGUGAAAAAAGUAUAUCACAUCGUGCUUCAAGACAACACUGUGCCAGUCAUUCAACCAGUGCGACGUGUACCAUUGGCCCUGACGGAACCACUACGGGACGAACUCGACAGGAUGGAGCACGCCGGAAUCAUCACGAGGGUCACCGAGCCUACCGACUGUGUAAGCAGCUCCUCCUGGCUGACAUGUUGUCACGUGCCACAACGAAGACAACGGCCUGCGACCUCGACAGCAACGAUGUAGAAGUACAUGCCGACCACCCCGCUCGGGUGCGGCGCAUCGCCCGCUGAGCUGCUGAUGGGGCGACGGCUCCGCACAACUAUUCCUGACGUUCAAGGCAACACCAGGCACGAGGUGCUCCGGCGUCCUCAGACAGACCACUCUAGGAGACCAUUGGCGCACCUGAGCCCGGGAGAUACGGUCCGGAUAAAGAAAGGAACAUGGGCGACGAAAGCUAAAGUGCUCAAGU